UUAACGAUUUGAAUCCUGCUAAGGAUAUGUGGAACAUGAAGGCGAGAAUUAUACGAAAAUGGAAUCAGGGUUACAAAAUGGAGAUCAUCUUCAUUGAUGAGAAGGGUGCUAAGAUUCAAGGAGGUAUUAAGAGUCAUCUGAUACCUGUUUUUGAUGGGCAGCUGCAAGAAGAUGCUGUUGUGAUUCUUUCGAAGUUUGGUGUUGAGCUUAUGAAGAUAUUCUUCAAGGAGAGGCGUUAAACGCUUUGAGUGUUG